UCGGCAGUGGUCCAAGUAAAACGGGUGCGGGUGUGUCCCCGCGGAUAGCGGACGGCUUUUCGGGUUCACCUUAGAUAAAUUUAAGGCGUUUCAAGAAAACCACCCGUUGAUCCAAAGGAAGCGCAGAAAUCUGCCAGUCCUUUCAGCAGCUGGGUCUCUCCUCGAGUCAGUGCGAUAACUCUGCAUAUUUGUGAUCCCGGAGGAACCUUCCGACCUCUUUGACUCCGUUACUUCUCUUCCCUCAAAAUCCGCCGUUGGCCUUGCUGUGUGUUUGGCAUCUAAAGUGCUUUUGUCUCGGAUGACUAAACUCUUCGAUAUGCCCAAGCUUGGUUCACGUGCGCUCACACGUCAAACAAGAACUUCUAAAAAGUGCCGUCAAAAAUUGGUGGUUUUCUUUGAUACCUCAGCUAAUCUUCAGCAAGAGUGAUUCUGGAUUGAGACUCGUUCGGUGACCGCUAGGACGGCUACAGCGGUUGCCGGCAUAAAUUGCCUGUCACUCCUUAAGUCGGCGUUUGCGUAGAAGCCCUGCAAAAGCUACUGAGAUGGAGUAUUUUAUCCAUGGCCGAAUUCCAUGAGUAGGUUACAAAGCUUUUUAUCAUCUUUCAAUUCCAAAUUUAAAAUAAUUGGCAUUUCGUGUCUUUUUGAAGAUUUGACCACUUUUAGUUUGUUUUAAAAGAGCAGAGUUUCUCACGACACAGCAAGAGCACUGGCUAUCUGACUUGCUCAAAUAACUGAAACUGCUGAACUUUUCAUCCCUACAUCACCACCUCAGAUACCCAGAUUUGUCAUGGAAAUUUUAUAACCGUGAAAUUGAUUUGUCCAAGUCGGUCCAAUCACAGGACACAAGCAAAACUUUGAAUUUUUGUUGGUGGGUUCUGUACAAUACGCAAGGCUGAACGGCCCUAAUAACAACCUGACUUUUUCCAAGUAAGUUUUUUAAGGGCGAAAUGUAAGCGUAUUAGCAGCGUAAUAUGGUGAAGUUCGCAUUUCUGUUCCUCAAUGCAAACCUGUUUUUCUGACAGUUGGAUACAGUUGGAAAUCCUAAGCCAACUUUUUGUACAUUUUUAUUCAUUGAUACGUAUUUGAGGAUUGCCUGGGUUCUAGGUCUGCUUGCCAGUUUAGAGCAGAGUGACCAGGGAAGCUGAAGAAUACCUGCAUUGAUUUGACAAUUGCAUAACUUCUGUCCAAAAAGAAAGAGAAACUGAGGGUUCCGGCAGUGAGUGGGGUCUUGUCUCCAGCCAAAGCUACAGCCUGGACAGGUUGGUGAGCAUCGAUGUGGACUGACCCUCCCGAGGAAAUCAUUCUAGAUAUACAAUCGUAGAAUUCAUGAAUAGCCCAAACAGAACACAGAACAAAUUCCCAAUUUGAAUUGUAAAAAUGUGUUCAUUUAAGUAUAACACAUUCAAUGGGGUUUUUUUUUUUCAUCUCAUUUUACCAUGCUCUCUUAUCUCUGUAACUGUCACAGCAGGUUGCCGCAAGUAACAUAAGCACAGCUUAAGGCAUUCCUUCAGUUGUCUACAAGAAACUGACAGGUUUCUCUCACUCAUACCAGCCUUUGGAGCACCUCUAGUUGCAAUACAUUAUUUUUCAGACCUUCUAAGCAAACCUUUCAUGUCUGAAAAGUUGUGAUUCACCAACACUUCACUACUUCAAAGACUUCUCAAGUCACAAUUUCCCCCCCCCCUUCUUGCUCGAGGAGACUGGAUAAUAAAUGCAGCGUAUGAACAUUGAAUCCUAAGGGCGAUUCUUUCAAGUAUUCAAAUACUGCAUACCCAGCUAGGAAGCAGGGCCAGCAGAUGUGACUAGUCGUUAUCCUACUAUAUAAGUAAGUAGAAUUGGGAAAACUUAAAACUUGCUAGCAUUGCUUAGAAAAAUCAGAUUGUUCCCAGGAGCAACUGUUUUUGUGCAAUCAUUUGAUACAAACACAUUAAUUGAUACGCAUUGACACAAAUCAUUUCAGGUAAAAGUAGCACUUGUGUGGCAGUGAAUGCCAACUUAAUUUACUGCAACUUCACUGUUUUACUUUGAAAGAGAAGUUAAUAUUAACUGUAUUUAGUAUCACUGCUAAAGUCCUGAACAUCCAGAUCCCAAAGAUUUAUCCACAUAACAUUUAGACUGUAUUUCCAAACAGGAAAUCCUGCCAGGUGAUGUAUGUAUGUGUUAAAGGUGGUUAUGGAUGUUUUGGCCUGUAAGUCAAAAGUCAUUCAAGGAUCCUGUUUAAAUGUGUUAGGAAGCAAAACACAAUGCAAAUCGUAGCAACGAAAAUUCCUUUUCUGUCACUACUGUAAAUUUGUCUGUCUCUCUGUAUAUUAGAAAAUUAUACAGCUGCUAAGUACAAAGUAUUACACGCAUUAUAAUAGCUGCCUCAAUAUCUCCUUAAAAAUAGGAAGUAUGAGAAGGAGUGAUUUCCGCAAUCCUGUUAAAAUAUUCAUGUGCAACGUUGAAAAAUAAAAGCUAAUACGAGUCUGUAUGUUCAAAGAUUUUUAAUGGUGGCUGUAACAUCUUACAAGUCUGGUUUUCUCUGAGUAUUAUUGCUAAAUGGGCCUUUUUAAAAGCUGUAGAUUAGUUUGCCUACAGUGUAGUUUACUUUUGCUUUCAAUCACAGAUAAGGCUUCUAAACUUCAAAGGAAACCACUUAUGACUCAUCACAAUUCAUUAUAUAUGUGCCAGAAGUAUUCUGCUAUCACUUUCUAGUAUAUUGAAAUUGCACUCAUUUUUUCCAUAUGGAAAUACAGAAAUGACCAUAAAAAUUGCUAGAGUGGAUCAUACCAAUGGUCUACCUGUAUUAUAAACUCAAGUUAAAAUACAGUUUACUUCAAAACUACUUAAUGGCCUGAAAUCAUUAUUGUUGCUCAAUGGUGUACAGUUCUCGUUCUUCAAAAAGUAAUUAGAGACAUUGUGUAAUAUUUAAACAGUGUUAAAAAUUAACUUGCUAGAACUAAAUAAGUCUAGUUUCAUGUGAACCUGGAAUCAUGAAAACAUAUGUGAUUUUAUUACAUUUAAAUGAUGGUUCAGUACUCAGCUUCUUCUAAAUUCAUUUAGAAAUCUCAGUCUUUCUACUCAAGUAAAUUCUGGAAAAUUGUAGGUUGAUCGUCCCGUGUCUGUCUAUAAUUAUAAUGAAAGGCCCACUCCCUAAUCACUGGGGAGAGGUAACGGAGUGAGAACCAAGCUAGUUACGACUGGUGAGGACUUCACUAUAUAAAUCAGUUAAGAGCUAAAGGAUUUGACUGACUACUAGGUGAUAUUAAAUAAUAACACAUUAUUCUUGGCUGAAAUGUUCUUUAUUGUAAAGGGGUUGCUGUUGAGACAAUCAUUUACAGUUACAUGAAUGUUGGAAAUAUGGGAAGAGAAGUAGGACUGCAGGUUUUCUGGAGAAGGCAGAGAAAAGAGAAUGAGAGGAAAGUUAGCAGCUGAAGUAAUUUGUCAGAGCUCAUGAAAGAGAUUGGUAAGA